rnacentral:rRNA from 1 species
UUGGAGGGCAAGUCUGGUGCCAGCAGCCGCGGUAAUUCCAGCUCCAAUAGCGUAUAUUAAAGUUGUUGCAGUUAAAAAGCUCGUAGUUGAAUUUCGGGAUCAGUAGGUUGGUCGUGCCACUGGUACGUACUGGUCUCACUGAUUCCUCCUUCCUGAUGAGCUGUAAUGCCAUUAAUUUGGUGUUGCAGGGAAUCUGGACUGUUACUUUGAAAAAAUUAGAGUGUUUAAAGCAGGCUAACGCUUGAAUACAUUAGCAUGGAAUAAUGAAAUAGGACGUUCGAUCCUAUUUUGUUGGUUUCUAGGAUUGAUGUAAUGAUUAAUAGGGAUAGUUGGGGGCAUUAGUAUUCAAUUGUCAGAGGUGAAAUUCUUGGAUUUAUUGAAGACUAACUACUGCGAAAGCAUUUGCCAAGGAUGUUUUUAUUAAUCAAGAACGAAAGUUAGGGGAUCGAAGACGAUCAGAUACCGUCGUAGUCUUAACCAUAAAUUAUGCCGACUAGGGAUCGGAUGAUGUUAAUUUUUUAAUGACUCAUUCGGCGCCUUACGGGAAAC